rnacentral:rRNA from 1 species
CGUUAGUGUAUUUUUACAUUGUUGCAGUUAAAAGGCUCGUAGUCGAAUAUAUGGUUUUUAAGAGUUGACCCUUAGUUUUACACUGAGUGUGAUUGACUUGUAAAAUCAUCUUUCUGGAAGAAUUUAUGUACCCUUGAUUGGGUUGUAUAAAGGAUCCAGAUCAUUUACUGUGAGUAAAUCAGAGUGUUCAAGACAGGCUUAAUGCUUGUAUGCUUUAGCAUGGAAUAAUAAGAUAUGACUUUGGUCUUAUUUUGUUGGCUUUUAAGAUUAAAGUAAUGAUUGAAAGGGAUAGUUGGGGGUGCUAGUAUUUAACGGUCAGCGGUGAAAUGCAUGGACCCGUUAAAGACUAACUUAUGCGAAAGCAUUCACCAAGGAUAUUNUCUUUUA